ACCUCCUCCCCGCGGGGCGUGCAGCUCAGACGCUCUUUGGAUCUAGCAGGCUCGGUGGCUGGGUUUGCUAAAGCUGCCGUAACAAAAUAUUAUAGAAUGGUGGCUUAAACAACAGAAAUUUAUUUCUCACUAUUCUGGAGGCUGUGAAGUACAAGAUCAAGAUUCUGGCUGAUUCCGUUUCUGGUGAGGUGCCAUUCACAUCAAAUGUAGCCAUUUUAGAGGUGUCAAAAUAAAUCAGCCAUAUUUAAUAAAUUCCAGCUCUACUCUUCUACCCUGUAGCCCAAGAAGCAGCAACGAUGGGGUCAAAGGAUCAUGCAGUAUUUUUCAGGGAAAUGACACAGUUAAUUUUGAAUGAAAUGCCAAAAGCUGGGUAUUCCAGCAUAUUAAAUGAUUUUGUGGAAUCUAAUUUUUUUGUGAUUGAUGGAGAUUCCUUGCUUGUCACGUGCCUGGGUGUAAAAUCAUUCAAGUGGGGACAGAAUCUCCACUUUUUCUAUCUGGUUGAAUGCUAUCUUGUGGAUCUUAUGAGUAAUGGAGGACAAUUCGCCAUAGUUUUCUUCAAGAUGGAGUUUCGCUCUUUUUGCACAGGCUGGAGUGCAAUGCCGUGAUCUCGGCUCACUGCAACCUCCACCUCCUGGGUUCAAGUGAUUCUACUCUCUCAGCCUCCCAAGUAGCUGGGAUUACAGGUGCAUGCCACCAUGCUCAGCUAAUUUUUGUAUUUUUAGUAGAGACAGUGUUUCAUCAUAUUGGUCAGGCUGGUCUCGAACACCUGACCUCAGGCGAUCCACCCGCCUCGGUCUCCCAAAGUUCUAGAACUUUUAAUAAAUAGAAUUUUACAGUAUGAUCUCUUUGUAUAAACCUUUCAUUCAACAUAAUAUUUUUGAGAGGCAUCCAUUUUGUUGUGUGCAGUGGUAUUUUGUUCCUUUUAUCACUUUUGAGUAAGGUUUUAUUGUAGAAAUGUGCCAUGGUUUGUUUACCCAUUUUCUUGUUGAGUGGACACUUUUCUGUUGAGCGGUCUCUUUCAAUAUCUUGCCUAGAUGAAUAAAGCUACUAUGUGCAUUCACAUGCAAGUCUUUGUGUGGACGUAAGUUUUCAUUUUCCUUGUGCAUAUAUCUGUGAUUGAAAUAUAUGUUUUAUAAAACUGCCAAAGCUUUUCCUAAGGUAGUUGUGCCCCUUUACACUCACUCCAGCAAUGAAUAAGAGUUCUGGUGCCCUGUGUAGUUGCAAACAUUUGUAUUUGGUCAGUCCAGCCAUUCUGGUGGAUGCGUAGUGUUAUGUCCCUGUGUUUUAAUUGGUAUUUAUCAAAUGGCUAAUGAUGUUGCCUACUUUUUCAAGUGCUUAUUGUUCGUUUGUAUACUAUGACUUGUGAAGCAUCUGCUCGUAUCUUUUGACCAUUUUAAAUUGGGUUCUUUAUCUUUUUAAUAUUGAAUUGUAGUAGUUCUUGAUAUAUUCUGUAUACAACCUCUUGUCAUAUAUAUUAUUGCAAAUAUAUUUUCCCAGUCUGUGGCUUGUCACUUCAUUUUGAGACGGAGUCUCGCUCUGUCACCUAGGCUGGAAUGCAGUGGUGCAAUCUUGGCUCACUGCAACCUCUGCCUCCCGGGUUCAUGCCAUUCUCCUGCCUCAGCCUCCUAAGUACUUGGAACUACAGGCAUGCGCCACCAUGCCCGGCUAAUUUUUUGUAUUUUUAGUAGACACAGGGUUUCAUCAUGUUAGCAGGAUGGUCUCAAUCUCCGGACCUCGUGAUCUACCCGCCUCGGCCUCCCAAAGUGCUGGGAUUACAGGCAUGAGCCACCGUGCCCGGCUGCCACUUCAUUUUCUUAGUGCUAUCUUUGGAUGACCAGAUAUUUUAAUUUUGAUGAAAUCUAAUUUAUUAUUCUUUAAUGGUUAUUGUGCCUGUAUCCUGAUAAGAAUCAUUGCCUAUCUCUUAGUCACAAAGAUAUUUUCCUAUAUUUAUUAAUAAUUCUAGAAGUAUGUAGUUUCAGCUUUUGCAUUUUGGUCUAUGAUAUUUUUUGAAUUAAUUUUUGUGUGUUUGUGGUGUGAAUUGGGGAUUGAGGUUGAUUUGUUCCAGCAUCCAUUGUUGAGAACAUUUUUCUUCUACCAGUAGAUUGCUUUGGUUUCUUCAUCAAAAAUCAAAUGAUUAUAUAUGUGUAGGUCCAUUUCUGGGCUUUUCUACUAUGUUCCAUCAAAGGAUUUAACAAAUUACCAGUACCACAAUGUCCUGAUUUGUGUAAUUUUAUAGUAAAUCUUGAAGCCCACUUUGUUCUUCUUUGCUUAACUUUGGCUAUUCUAGGUUCUCUGCAUUUCCACAUGAAUUUUAGAAUCAGCUUGCCGAGUUCUAUUUAAAAGAACAAUGGGAUUUUAAUGAU
rnacentral:sRNA from 1 species